CAUGCCCCAAAUCAAAUUUUAGAGAACUUUCCACGUCCUAAAUAGAGGAAAAGUCAUAUCUGAUAAGAGUUCUUCUGCAGGUGAAACUCUCUUAUCAGAUACGAUGUUUUAUUCUUCUUUCGCAUGCGCCCAAUAAAAGAUACGCUAAGCAUCUUUUCGUUAAUCAGAUUAUUUUCAAAUUUUUACAUGUAGAAACUCUUUUCUUAAAUGUAUAAAAAUCAAAAGAUUAUCUGAUAUAAGUGGUGUCUAAGAGACUUAAAGCAGAAGG
rnacentral:lncRNA from 1 species